rnacentral:siRNA from 1 species
UCACUUCAGGGGCAAAUUGGU